AAUUAAAAUUUUUAUCCAUUUGUACGGUAAAAAACUAAAGUGGUUGACGGAAUAACCAGAAGUGUGACAUGUGGCAUGUCACGUGUAUAUUGUGCUAGUGCGCAUGGGAUUAGUUUUUAACAAUAAAAAUUGAUGCAAUUUUUAAUA
rnacentral:pre_miRNA from 1 species